CACCAAUCCGCACCUUCCACUAUCCGGGUAGGACCAAUCAGCGGCUGCGGGGACUGGGAGGGAGACUGUCGCCAUGGCACCAAGGAGGCGGGAGCGCGCGGUGGGUAGAAGCACAGAGCAAAGCCGCCGGCUGGGGGCUGGAGAGACAGGUCUGUGCGCUGCAAGCAUUCAGCAGGCGGAGUUUCGUGCGCUGAGACCCAGCUGGGUAAGGCCGGUGGCCUCGAGGGUGGACAUAGGAACUUAUAUUUCUCAUCUUGGUCCUUAAGCUCUCCAUGAUCUGGUCCAACUUUAAAGGAAAUAACUGAUUAUGUUCACCAGUGAGCUUGCACAUGAGCUAACUGCCUUGUAUUUUACAGGUAGGUAGUGGGUUUCAAAAAAGAAUUUGAGAUGUCUUGCUUUCUUACUGAUCACUGUGACUGAAGCUGGGGUUAAUUUUUAAAAGUGAUCAUAAGGGUAAAAAAAGAU
rnacentral:lncRNA from 1 species